AUAAAGAUGAACCAAUCCAAGAUUGAUUUUUUGUUUGUUUAAUCCUGGCAGUAUUCUUAACUAAAUCGUAUUCAUUCUUCCCUUUAGUUUCCAGACUUUUAAAUUUUAUUUAUUUAUUUAUUUUUUGAGACAGAGUCUCGCCCAGGCUGGAGUGCAGUGCCACAAUCUUGGCUUACUGCAACCUCUGCCUCCCUGGUUCAAGCGAUUCUCCUGCCUCACCCUCCCAAGUAGCUGGGACUACAGGCACGUGCCAUCACGCCAGGCUAAUUUUUGCAUUUUUAGUACAGAUGGGGUUUUACAUAUUGAUCAGGCUGGUCUUGGACUCCUGACUUAGUGAUCCACCGGCCUCAGCCUCCCAAAGUGUUGGGAUUACAGGCAUGAGCCACUGCGCCAGGCCACUUUCCAGAUAUUAUAGUCCCUAAUUUAUUGUGUCUCAAAUGCCAAAUAAAUUUGAGCUUAGACUGGAGCUGCUGUACUGAUACAGGAUUGGAUUUAUGGGUGAAUGGGUGACUAUAGGUGUCAUGUUAUUUUCAUAGAACCAUUCAGGUUUGAAAUUAAGAAGGAAAGAAGUUCCCUUGAAUGGAGAUAGCCAGAGGCAGAAUUAAGACCUUUCUUCCAAGAUCAAUCUGAAAUAACAUUUUGGCAAGUAAAAGAGGCAUGUCUGUCAUAGAAGAAAUAAAAAGGCAACCUGGAAGAACAGAAAAAGGGAGGACUAGAUAGAAAUUAGUUAACUGUCUAGCUGGGCAUGGUGGCAGGCACCUGUAAUACCAGCUACUCAGGAGGCUGAGGCAGGAGAAUCGCUUGAACCCAGGAAGCGGAGGUUGCAGUGAGCCGAGAUCAUGCCAUUGCACUCCAGCCUGGGCGACAGAGUGAGACUCGAGGGAAGUGAUCACCUAAAUCAGUGUUUUAUCAACCUUUUAAAAUUAUCAUCCCCCUAAAGAGCCUUUCUAGACAUUUUUUCCUGCUAAUUCUCCCAUACCCUUACCAUGAAAUUAAAUGCUCAGGAGUGAUUGUUUUGGUAAGGUUAAGCUUUGGAGUUCCACAAACUAAAAAGAGUGAGAUUGUAUCAAAAAUUGUUUCAGUCCUCCCUGAGUUCCCCACACCCUGGGGAGCCAUAUCACCCAUAUUAAGAACUUGUAGCCUAAAUAAAUCUUAUAUGGGUGUAUUCAUAGAGUAGUUUUCCUUUGCUUACAUAGCACAUAUCUACUAUGCCAACUUCUUGUUUUGUAAUAUGCUUUUCUUGGAUCCAGCCUUGGAAUCCCAAGAGAUAUCUUCAUCAACAUUAACUGUCAUUACAAUAACAUCUAGUCAAGAAUAGUCUAAAUGGCUGGGUGUGGUGGCUCACGCCUGUAAUCCCAGCACUUUGGGAGGCUGAAGUGGGUGGAUCACUUUGAGCUGAGGAGUUCGAGACCAGCCUGAGCAACAUGGUGAAACCUCAUCUCUACUAAAAAUACAAAAAUUAGCUGGGCGUGGUGGUGGGCACCUAUGAUCCCAGCUACUGGGGAGGCUGACGCAGGAGAAUCACUUGAACCUGGGAGGCAGAGGUUGCAGUGAGCUGAGAUAGCACCACUGCACUCCAGCCUGAGCGACAGAAUGAGACUCCAUCUCAAACAAACAAAAAAGUCUAAAUGUCCUCAAUACUGUCCGUGUGUGGCACUAGUGAAGUAAUUUCUGGCAAAUGCUUUAUCAGCAUUUUCUUUCCAUAGUUUAUAGAGAUGUUCAUCCAUCUUUUCAUUUAGUCAUUCAGUAAGUAUUUGAGUGCCUAUUAUGGAUUAGGCUUGGGUACAUAGUGGUGUGAUAAAGUCUCUAUCCUUGUGGAGUUUAAAAUGUAGUUCAACUUGUUUCUCCUCCUUUAUCGAUAAAAUACAGAUUCCAGCCAUCAGUGGUGCUAUGGUCACCAUGAAAUUCAGGCUACAUAAAUUCCUUUGGAAAUGUCUGAUUUAGACAUUUAUCACUUUCAGAUGUUUUAGCCAUGAAAGAAUCUCAUGGAUUUAUUGAAGAAAUAUGCUAUGGUCAAGGACAAGGUAUUGGCUCUAGAAGCCAAAUUACUAGUCUUUAUCCUGGCUUUUUAUUUGUGAGAACAUGGAGAGUUGUUUCAACCCUAGGAACCUUGAUUUACUCUUUAAAACAGAGAAAAUGGGCUGGGCGUGGUGGCUCACGCCUGUAAUCCCAGCACUUUGGGAGGCUAGACAGUCAGAUCAGUUGAAGUCAGGAGUUUGAGACCAGCCUGGCCAGCAUGGUGAAACCCCGUCUCUACUAAAAUUACAAAAAUUAGUUGGGCCUGGUGGCACAUGCCUGUAAUUUUAGCUACUCGGGAGGCCAAGGCAGGAGAAUCUUUUGAACCAGGAGGUGGAGGUUGCAGUGAGUCGAGAUCCCACCAUUCCACUCCAGUCUGGGCGACAGAAACUCAAAAAAAAAAAAAAAAAAGAGCAGAGAAAAUGAUAAACAACUUGCAGGUUGUUGUGUGGUAUAAUGGUCAUACAUUAUUUUCUACUCUUUCUCAUAAAGAGUUGGUGUGUCAUGGAAAGUACCUGUUCUAUGUGUGUGAGUCUGUGUGUAUAAUUCGGUGUGAAAAUUAAAGAGAAAAAAACAAUAAAAAACCCUUUCCUAUACUUAUGUGUAAAUUACCAUGGUGUGCUGCAAAAAACAUAUGUCAAGGUGAUAGAAUUAUUUUGACUUUCCUGUACAAUUAUAAAAUGACUCAGUGAGUUUGGUUAGAUAUCCUCGUUCUUUGAAUCUAUAUCCUUGUCUGCUUAUGAUGAAAAAAAAGAAAAAAAAAUGGCAAGGGUCUUCCAAACUCUAAAGAAUAUGUCAACUGUGAUACAAGUAGCAGCCUUAUAACUAACUGUAAACACUGUCUGUGGGUUUUAAGUUUUACCUGAGCAUUGGAUAUUAACAGACCAUUAGCCCAACUUUCAAAAAUAUGAACCCUAUGAACUUCACAACUGAAGUCAGAUCUGUAUGCCUGAGAGAGGUAAAAUCAUGUCAUGAAAUCAAACGGUGGCUGAUGCGCCCAAAUUCUGGCCUCAUCCUCUAACUGGAGGACAUCUGGCAGGACAGCAACUGGGCUGUGCCUUUUUUCAGUCCAGCAACAUCUUCCACUCAACCCACGCCAUUUGGCAGUUUCCCCAUUGCCCCUGGCACGUAGCCCUCCGGUACCGGGAACUAAAUAUCUUUGACCAUCCCGCCCGCCGGCCCUGCCUACUUAACCUGAGGCAGGUGAAAGAGCCUCACGCAGGGUUAGGAACCUCCGGGGGCGUGGCGUAGCGUAACGCAGUGUUGGGGAAACUUGCGGCUGUGGAUUGGGGGACCGGAAAGGGAGGGGUGGGCCGCAGGCGCCGGACGUGACGUAAGCCGGAAGCGACUUUCCGCCGAGAAAUAGGGGGCGCGUGUUUGGAAAUUGAUAGAAAAGAUAAAGGGACCGAGCUGCUGUCAGCCUGGCUUACUGAUCUGCGUCCGUUUCACCACGGAUUCAGUUACUAAGCAUUUUCUUCUUUUUUUGGUUCUUUGCAACGUGGGUGGCAUUGGCUCAGUGAUUUCCAUGAGCAUCUCUACCAGAAAACAUUGCCUCGAUGAGGUGUGGUGGAAGCCCGGCAGCCCCUUCUAAUCGGCUAGGCUUGAGAAAGCGUGUACCUCUGCAUUUCCGAAAUUAACUCAGCGUGAUCGGCAAGAUUUUCCUGAGCAUCUGGUGUCAAGACACUCGUCACUAUUAAUUCGGAAAGAAAAAAAAACAAAACACCGUUUUCCAGCAUUUCUGUUGGUGGAGAACUAAACAACAGGAAAAAUGUCUAUUUUCCCUAAGAUAUCUUUGAGACCCGAGGUUGAAAACUAUCUUAAGGAAGGCUUUAUGAAUAAGGAGAUUGUGACUGCUUUAGGUAAACCAGAAGCAGAAAGGAAGUUUGAAACUUUGUUAAAGCACCUGUCACAUCCUCCGUCAUUCACAACUGUCAGAGUGAAUACACAUUUAGCCUCAGUACAACAUGUGAAAAAUCUGUUACUUGAUGAACUUCAGAAGCAGUUUAAUGGAUUAAGUGUUCCUAUUCUUCAACAUCCAGACCUUCAAGAUGUGUUACUUAUUCCUGUUAUUGGACCCAGAAAGAAUAUUAAAAAACAACAGUGUGAAGCCAUUGUUGGAGCCCAGUGUGGCAAUGCAGUUUUAAGAGGAGCCCAUGUCUAUGCCCCAGGAAUUGUGUCAGCAUCAAAAUUUAUGAAAACUGGAGAUGUUAUUUCUGUAUACUCUGAUAUUAAAGGAAAAUGUAAGAAAGGAGCCAAAAAAUUUGAUGGAACAAAAGUAUUUCUUGGAAAUGGGAUUUCUGAACUAAGCCGCAAAGAAAUCUUCAGUGGAUUACCUGAACUGAAGUAUGUCAUCAGAGGCAUGGGCAUAAGAAUGACAGAACCAGUAUAUCUCAGCCCUUCAUUUGACAGUGUACUGCCCCGUUACUUAUUUUUACAAAAUUUGCCAUCUGCCUUAGUAAGUCAUGUACUAAAUCCUCAACCUGGAGAGAAGAUUCUAGACUUGUGUGCAGCACCUGGAGGGAAAACAACACAUAUUGCAGCACUAAUGCAUGAUCAGGGAGAAGUUAUAGCACUGGAUAAAAUCUUCAACAAAGUAGAAAAAAUCAAACAGAAUGCCUUAUUGUUAGGGCUGAAUUCCAUCAGGGCAUUUUGUUUUGAUGGAACAAAGGCGGUUAAACUUGAUAUGGUGGAGGACACAGAAGGAGAACCUCCAUUUCUACCAGAAUCCUUUGACCGAAUUCUUCUGGAUGCACCCUGUAGUGGAAUGGGACAGAGACCAAACAUGGCCUCUACUUGGUCUUUGAAGGAAGUGGCAUCAUAUCAGCCAUUACAGCGAAAACUCUUCACUGCAUUUUCUUUAGGCGGUUCAGCUGCUGAAGCCAGAGGGUGUGCUGGUUUAUAGCACGUGCACUAUAACACUGGCCGAAAAUGAAGAACAAGUUGCCUGGGCCCUGACAAAAUUUCCUUGCCUUCAGCUUCAGCCCCAGGAACCGCAGAUUGGAGGAGAAGGAAUGAGGGGAGCUGGGCUCUCAUGUGAACAGUUGAAACAGCUGCAACGAUUUGAUCCAUCGGCUGUGCCAUUACCGGACACUGAUAUGGACUCUCUUAGAGAGGCCAGAAGAGAAGACAUGUUGCGUCUGGCUAAUAAGGACUCUAUAGGUUUUUUUAUUGCAAAAUUUGUAAAAUGCAAAAGCACAUAGGAGAGGGAUGGAUGCUCAGAAAUGAAAAUUCCAAACAUUUGCUGUCUGUGGUUUUUUUUUUUUUUUUAAAAAAACCAAAGUGUUGUCAGGCCAACUGAAUGAUGACGUGGUUGCUAAGGAAACAGAAAAGGCUGCCAGCUGUUUUACCAGGGAUCCAGAGACAUAGAGGAAGUAGGGGUUGGUAUGAGAUUAUAUUUUCUGUUUUUAAAAGAUUUUUUUUUAAUGUAUUUAGUAGAGUAUAAAGAAAAGCAGAUGCCUAUAGAUGUCUGGAGCAUAUUUUCAUUUGUGAUCUAAUGUUUUAAUUUGUAAAGUGUACAAGUCAUUUUUAAUGUUAAAAAUUAGUGAAUCUAACAAAAGGAAUAAAUUAGCAAUAUUUGAUGUGGCUA